AGUCUCAGUUCGGAUUGGAGUCUGCAACCCGACUCCAUGAAGCUGGAUUCGCUAGUAAUCGCAGAUCAGAAUGCUGCGGUGAAUACGUUCCCGGGUCUUGUACACACCGCCCGUCACACCAUGGGAGUCGGAAAUGCCCGAAGCCGGUGACCCAACCAAAAGGAGGGAGCCGUCGAAGGCAGGUCUGAUAACUGGGGUGAAGUCGUAACAAGGUAUC
rnacentral:rRNA from 1 species